AGCAAUGCUAAUACGCUAAAGUCACAACCUGGUUCAAAUCUGUGAGUUUUCAGAAAUUAUAACUGAAAAAUGACAUAAUUUUUCAGUUAUAUCAAACACCCAGCCUUCACUCUGCCCAGUCCUCUCAGGAUUUCCUCUCCUAAUUUAAUCUGGUGUCAGUUUCAUUUACCAACACGGCCACAGUUGUAUCCAAGUUGAGCUUUACUGUCAACAUUUUGAGUUGAGGCUCAUCACUCUUUGAAAAUCAAGGAAACUAUUAAUGCUUAGCAGUUGGAAUAAAAUAAGAUACAAAUCCCUUUUUCAUCAUCUCCUUUUACUGCAUCCUCCCAUCUGCCUUAUGCAUGCUACAGAUCGCUUUCUGGGCUCCAGCUUUAUUUUCUCAAUUCAACCCCAAUAGCAACACCUUACUACUAUACUACAUGUGCAAUUAAUUUAAUGAGGUUCAAAUAAACAUUUUAUUACAGUAGCCAUUAUUAUGUUUUGUGUUUGCAGCAAGCAUAUUGGAUCUUCUUACUUUAGGGUGUCGAACUUAAAAACUUCAACUUCAAUGUCCAACUGGGACAUUGCAUGAAGAAUGUUGACCAAAAUUCCUAAUUUAUAAAAAAGAAACCUUGUUCUAAAUAUUGAUUUGUUCAAGCUUUCUGCUGUCAAAUUGCAGACAAACAGAAGUCUAAUAUUUAAGUUGGUGGAAAAGUUACUCUAAAAAGAGUCUGGAUGAGAAAACCUUUAUUAAAACUUUGCAAGAUGACAACAGAAAUGCAGAGUCAAACAUCUUGUAUCCUCUGUUGCACAGUAUUAAUGAGCUCCAGCGGUUUUUAGCUUUAGGGUUUUAAAAAGCAGAUCUUGGCAAAGUGAGGGAUAAAUGAGUUGAGUGGAUGAUUUAACAGCCCAGAUCCGGUGCCUGUUGUCCUGAAGUUGCAGAAUAGUCGCUGCCCAGGACUAGACUUGAUGAUGGCAAAGAGGCUUGGAGCUCACCAACAAAUAUAAACUUUAUUUCGAGGGGGUGUGCAUAACACUGUCAUGACCCUGUCAUAAGCAUAAUAUUACGCCUGUUGUGAACAUAAAGGAAUCUUCAUAAAUGUUUAUAAUUGUUGUCUUGAAGUGUCACUCUGUAAAUAAUGAUGCUUGUAAUGCACUUUUAAUGGACAUUUCAUGAAAGUUUUAAUGGAACUGUGCAUUAAAAGUGUCAUUAUUUACUAGGCCUGUCAUGAUAAAUUUUGCUGAGCGAUUAAUUCUCUCAAAAAGUAUUGCAAUAAACAACAAAAUUGUUUGGAGAUUAUUUUAAACUGAUGUAAUGAUAAUGACAUAAUAAUGCAAGCACAUCCUGCCAAAGAUAAAUGCACUUUAUUUUCAAAAGAGCGCUUAAUACUGGAACUGGUUAACAAAGUAACACAACCAGAAAUAAAAAUAAAAUGGACUCUCAGUCUUCGCUAAGAAAAAAUGCACUUGAAUAAAAACUAAACCCAAGAUAAAACAACAGUGGAAAUAAACACUAUGUUCAACCAAAGGAAUACAUAUUAUGAAGCCUAUAUAUCAUUAGAUUUAAAUAAAGAUGGGCAAAACUGCGGUUUUAUAAAUAAAAAGUGCAAAGUAGCACAUUCUUCUUAAGACCAGAUGCCUGAACAAUCUUUAAGCAGAUCAGUAGCUACAUUAGUCAGACAGAUUCCGAGCAAGAAAUACCAACAUGUUGAGUUGUGUGGCUUCCGGCAGGAUCUCUCAGGAGUAGCAAUGUUUCCAGCUGUGCUAAACAUUCUCUCUGAACUGGUGGUUGUUGCACAAAUACACAUGUAUUUUUGAGCCAAGUUUGCCCUCAAAGGAUAUCUUCAUUGAUUGUCACACCACCACAUCAAGGGAUCACAAGAGGCAUCACUCUAACGUCUUCUUGAAGGAACUUGGUCAGUUCUGCAUCAGCUCUCUUUUUGGAUGUGUAGCUUGUGUCUGACCUUGAGCUCUUGUGUUUGAAAGGUCACUUAGCCUCUUCUUCUUGGUGGGUGGGGCAGCUGUAGGUUCAUCUUUGUUUCCUCCAUCACCACUUACACCUUCUUCACUUCUGGCCCUUUUAAGUCCAGUAGCUCUUGCACCAGCUGAUGUUUGAUGUCAUCCAAUGACCCUGCCGCCUCCAUGCUGCCAAGGUGCCUUGGAUCCAAGAUGGUGGCCUUUGUCAGGAAGUCUUGGAUGGCAGUGUUCUGUCAUCAGGGCUUGGAGAGUGAAGGUCGCCUUUAAUCAGUUCCAGCACAGGCUUAACAGAGGACACAGUGACGUAUGUUUCUCCUGAAAGGACACCUGUAAAGUCAGCCAGUGGUUUCAUAGCUGCGUUGAAGGACUCCAACACUGAAACAUCCUGCCAGGUUGUGCUUUCUGUCUUGGACCUGGACUCUUCUGUUUCGUGCCUCAUCGUCUGACAACUUCCUGUGGGAUACUGAAAAUGUUUUUAGUAGAAAAAUACAUAUAAUUAUUAUAUAACUCAUUUAGGGCCAAACUUCACCAGUGACUGGUAACAUAUCCCCUUGUGCUGACAAGUAGAAAUGACACCAAAAAUGUACUAUUACUAUAUUAGAACAAUACUAUUUUUUUAGUUAACGUAUUUCAACUUCUUUAAAGAAAUGCUACUUAUUCUCCUUAAUAAUUUGUGUUGUAUAUAAAAUUAUUGCCAGACAACAGUCUUAAUUCGAUUCCACAGGUCUACAUGCUACAAAAAUAAAUAAAUAAACAUGACUCUGAAUAUUUUGAGUUACAAAUGAAUGAAUAAAUGACUAAAACACAAACUGCCUGGUGCAACAGUCCACUCCUCCUCGGCAGGGGUCAGUGCAGAGCACCAGAGUUGAUUCUUCUUCUCCAGCGUCAUCAAUAGAAAGAGAAAAAUACUGGCAGGAACGAUAAAUUAAAACGAGGUCAACAGUUUUCAUUUAUUGUGCGAUUCACUGAUUUAUUGCUUAUCGCGACAGGCCUAUUAUUUACAAACUGACACUUCAUGACAAGACUCCUUUGUGUUCAUGACAUGUUCAUGAUGCUCACUCCUGAAAAUAAAGUGUUACAGGUUUUUCUUUAACAUUAUCUUUGAAAGGGAAGUAAAUCUAAAUCUGCCAGGUGCAUGAAUAAUAUUAACCUCAACUCUUUGACAGUGACCAGUUUCUUUUUUUUAUAUAUAUUGAUGUUUUGUUGGGUCUGGUGCAUGUGUCAAACCCGCUGCAGCUUUUUUUAUGUGGCCCUCUAGACUCCAAAUUACAUCUAUGAGUCUCCAGUUUUUCACACAAGAUAAAUUUUCUGAUUUUACUGCAAAUUUUACUCAAAACUCAUCAAAAACAUUUGAUUUAAGUGAAUUCUGCCUCAGACUUGCUUGAUGUAAAGUUAUAGUUCGUGAUUGAUGCAAUGAAUAAUAAAAAGACACAUUUAACCUCACACAUUAGCGCAAAUAUCGGAACAGUAUCUUACACAUAUUUCUAAAUUAGCACCACAAAAUCUGUGAUUUUGAUUGGAAAAAAAAUAAUUCCUGAAGGGACUGAUUAUUGUGAAAAGAUGUUCAUUGCUUAAUUAAAACACAAAAUAAAUAAACAGCUAUUUCUUAAUUUUUUAACAGUUUAAUAGGUUUUAUCAACCAGCUCUUUAAGAACAUUCAGAGUUUUGAAAUGGCCCAAAAACUGAGCUUGACGCCAUUGGUCUAGUGGCUUUUAUUUUAGAGUGAUCAGACAGGAAAGUGGGUAAUGACAGGUAAACAUGCAGUUAAGGGAUUUGAACCUGUGACUGCUGCGUCGAGGACUAAGGCCUCUUGCCUGUGCCACCACAGCACCCCAGGAGUGAGAAGUUUGUUAUACAGAAAGCUGCAGUUUAUGGUUUGUCAUGAAUCAAAACCUUUUUGUUUUGUUCAUAUUUUAUUAACUUGUUGCCAGGUUUUCUUUUUGUCAGUCCCAACUCCACUGUGCCAUUAAGUGACAUUGCUAGUAGAUUUAAUUAGCACCUCACUUUGCAUAUGUUUCAUCUUGUUGCUGCCAACUAAACAUGUAACAUUUCUUUUUUUUUUUUCUUUUUAACGUGCAUUCCUUUCCAAUGAGUCGAUCCCUAUCAUUCGCCAACAGCGAUGUUUCCUCCACAUUGUGGAUUGGCUUGUGGCCUUACUUGGUCUGAGAGGAAUGAAAUUAGUGGUGGGAACUAUGCAGACACACCCUGUGAUGGACUGAUCACAGAGAAGCUGCAUCCUGAAAAGUAGGAAGAACAUCGCUCUGUCCCCCACCUCCUCUCCUCGGUUCAUUACCUUUAAAAAAAAAAAAUAUUUCUGCUCUCUCACUGGAACUGGACUGGAGUCAGAAGCAUUUUCUUAGCAUAGUGUGGUAUGGUGGGAAGACUUCUGAACGAUCAAUGGUUUAAAGUUGCUCAUUAGCUUUAAUGUGGAAAAUAAUGCAAUAGAAUCUCCCUUGUGUGUCCAGUUUCAUCUAGUAGAAAUGCUUCUUUUUGAUCUCUUUUGUAAUCAGAUGACAUGUCAAUUUCCUAACAUGAAGUAAAGACUGAUGUUUUAUUGUCUUGGUCACUUCAUCGCAUUUGAGUCACAUCUGUCUCUUUCACUCUUUAUGGACUCUUCAACAAGCCACAGUGCCACUUUUGCAGAGAUAAUAAGGUUCAUUAUUAUUCUAUUCUCCUUUUGAAUUUGAAGUUUAUAUUCAUAAAACAUGAUUUAGAAGUAAAAUAAACAAUUAAUGACUUAAUGUGUAAACUAGCAGACAGUUAAACCUUUAAAGAGCCCUGGAUGCAUUGAAAAAUGUUUCAAUGACAUCAGAAACUACACUAUAACAGUGUAGUUCCUACACCACUAUUCUACACUGAAUAAUAGUGCAGACACUUUUAAAAGCAAGUCCUUUAAAUAAAAAAAAAGUUAGAAUUUUAUUGUGAUGUUAAAGAUUUUAAAAUGGCUGAAUGUUUAAAGUCCUGAAAAUGCUGGAAACUAAUUGGAUUAUUGAUUUAUUUUUUUAUUUAUUUUUUAAAUAGAUAAACGUUCACAUUUUACCCAAAUGUAUACCGUUUUUGCCUGAGUUGGACUCAAAGUUGAUUGAGACAUGUAAAAUGUAAGGUUAUGGUAAAAACAUAAUUUUAGCUGCAACAGGUUUGGUGUUAACAAGGUCUCACUUUCCUGGGAUAUUUUCCUCCUUCACUAGGUCAUGAACUGGCAUAACUUUAAAUCCAAUAUGGCUUAGCUUAAACACUGAUCUGUUUGAAAACAUGUUUAACACACCCUAAAAUGUUAUUAUUGCCACCCCUGGAAAAUAUGUGUGCAAAAUCUUACCCUUUGUUGCUAUGUUUACUUGGUAACCCCCCAAGAUGCCACUUGUUGUUGCAGUUCUCCAAACAAUUUCCUUAUCCUCCCUACUAUGUGGUGGCACAAUGAAACUGGGUCCUCAUACAGCAUUGUUUUUUACAGGUUGUGGUUUUUACCUUUUUAUUUAAUACCAAGUGCUGAGUUAGGAAAAUUGUGACCUGUGCAUACCUAGGGAUGGGAUUUCCAUUUGAAACUCUCUAGAACUUGGCGCCGAUCAAAACAUGAUUGAUCAACACAUCAGUUGUUCUAGAUGCCAAAUAUAUUGGACACAUUUUUUUAAAAAAAAGGAAAUUUGUUCCUAAUGUGCAGCUUCCUCUGCCUUCACUCAAUAAAUGCCACCAUAGAAGAUUACACCAUUGCAACAUAGAGCUCAUUUAUUUGAAGUUUUUUUUCUGUAUUUUUUUACCCGGUGUGCCAAUACUUGUGGAAAGAGCUGCAUCACCACAAAAAGGUUUCUCUCACCAGACUCUGGUGCUCAAACCUGUAAUUCAUUUGAUUUUCCUGGACCUAUUAGAGCUGUGAUGCAUUUCUGGGCCAUUUAGGGUUUCCUGCUCUGGAUCUUAAGUGGUUAAAGUGUAGUUUCAGUAACGGAGCAAUUAUGUUAGACUGAGUAGUGCAACUCAAUUAUGGAGUAAGUUGUAUCAUUAGUACCCAAGACAAAUUGCACAGCCUGUAUAAUUGGAGACAGUUGGCAUCUUGCAAUUGACUAAGGUGAUCUCAUGAGUACGUUUGUCUUGAUGUGUGGGGAAUAGAUGAGAUAUGGAAACAUGGCGACAGGAUGAAAUAUGAUCUGAAUUUAGUUAGCUUUUUGCUUUUCUUUUGACCUGAUGAUGGGACUCACUUAUCGUCAGCAUUUAUCAUUUAUUCUGGUUUCAGAUGGAAGUUGAAAUGCAAGAAUCUACCUUUUUUUGUUGUUUUUUUUAAAUUGCUCUCAGAAGUUUGCAUUUUUAUUUUAAGAGAAUACGUGAUGGAGGGAAACUUUCGAAAUUAAAAAGUGAUUUUUACAUUAAACAGAACCCAACAAGCACACAGCUUUAGUUCUGCUUGAUCAUUUUUUCACAGCAUCUUGGAGCCUAUCCUGGUAUAGCUGAAAGUAUUUUAGUUUUCUGACUUAACAAUCAAGAAUUGUGGUAAAUACAGGGAUGUUGAGCCAUCUAUUUUUGUCAAAACAACAAAAAUAUCAAGGCAAAAACACCAAAAGAAAAAAAAAAGGUAGGUUUUGUGAUGAAGGCCAUUUCUCCUCUGUUGCCCGUCAGGGUACAAUCAAUUCCUGGUCUCGGACGGUUUGUUGCAGAUCUUCUCCCUGUUUCUCCACCUCAUUUCAUUUCAAUUUACUGUUCAAUAUAAACAUCUGGUGCCAAAAAAAAAGAAGCUAAAAUGUGUUUGAUAGAAAAGAGGAUGUGGUGUGGUCUUUUGCUCAGAUGCCACUUGGUCAAAAGCUUUGAGUUUUGUUUUUCAGAAGACUUGUUCCUCCCUGGAGAACAAAACCAUACUUGACACGUGGAUGUUUGUGGAAGUGAGAGGCCGAGUAGGUCUGUGGCAUGAGUGUGACUGGCCUUGGACAAAAUUCCCCUUUUUAAUAGCUGAAAAAUUGUAAAAUAAAUGUUAAAGCAUGUUUUGUUCCAGCUGCAUUAAAAAAAAUGAACAAUCAUGGAAUACUA